UGACCGGUUAGGUCGGUAUCCUGGUUAGGAUGAUGAUAUGUUAUGUGAUCUGUUUGAUCGGCUUGUUGACUGUGAAUUGCUAUAUGAUUGUAUGUAUAUGUGCACAUGGUUGUUUGGACUGGAGUUGGGUUGAGGCGGGUCCUGCUUUGUGCUGUAGGCCAAGAUACCCAGGGCGGACCGGUUGUCCCGAAGGCCCAGCGAGCGGUCCGGAUAGGCUGUAGGCCCCAAGAGGGCGGACCAGACGUGCCGAGGCUCGGAGAGUGGACCAGGCCGACUGAAGGCCCGGUGCGGGCGGACCAGUCAUACUGUAGACUCAGAGAGUGGACCAGGUGGAUUGAAGGCCCGGUGCGGGCGGACCAAUCACACUGCAGACUCGAUGUAUGUGGUUAGAUUCGGAGAGUGGACCAGGUGGAUUGAAGGCCCGGUGCGGGCGGACCAAUCACACUGUAGACUCGAGGUAUAUGGCUAGACUCGGAGGGUGGACCAGGUGGACUGUUGGCCGGUGCGGCGGACCAGUCCCACAGUAGACCCGAAGUGCAUGGCUGUUCUGUGAUCGGAUAUGUUAUGGCAUGUUAUGCGUGUAUGGUAUAUGUGGUUGGUAUUUUGGGGAUAUCUCACUAAGCUUUCGGGCUUACAGUUGUGGUUUAAUGUUUUUCAGGUUCUUCAGGAGACCGUGGCAAGGCGAAGGCGUGAUCGUACCGCUCCUCAUGUUUAUGUUGUGAUGAGAUUCUGGGAAUACUCUAAAUAAAUUGUAUUGAAAACCUUUUUGUAAUAACUUUAAUGGAAUCGGGUUGUUUUCGAAAAUUUUAAAUUGGUUGAAAUUUUUGGUCGUUACAAGUUGGUAUCAGAGCCUUGGUUUGAGUGAAUUGGAGGAACACUCGUGUGACUCCAGUCUCAAAUCGAGGAGAGUUUUCAAAAGAGUAUUUAAAAUGGUUUUCAAAAUGAGUAAAGGAGGACGCUGAGGUACGAUCAGCCGGAGCCAGUAAGUAACCCCAAAAUACCAUACAUGAUAUUUGUUUUUGAGUUUUGAUAGAACAGCAUGCUAGUGUUAGGCUAGGGAUCUUCAGGAUUUCAUGAUAAUGCUGCCUGAUUGUGAUGCAUGUAGCCUAGGGUUCCUAUUGGGAGAUUUCCAGUGUUCCUCUAGUGGUGAGAGUUGAGCGCUUGUUUGUAUGUUUUCACUAGGGUGUUGUGGUAGUACUUCAUAUAAAUAUGGGUAGGUGUGGAAGGUAGUAUGGGCCCGUACUACUGAAAGCACAGGACCCAUACGCGUAUCAGGGAAACCAUGACCUCUAGGGUUGGGUUGAGAGUUGGUUCCCGGGUUAGUGGGAAGUGUCUGAGAUUUUGUGGUGUUUUUCAGUAUGGAGAUUCCGAGGCAUGCUGGGAGUGGAUCCGGGUCAGGAUCGGGAGCAGGAGAGGGAGUUCCGGGCGGGUCAGUACCGCCCGAGGUUAUUGGUCAGAUGAGCACGUGCGAGUUGGAUGCGAGGAUUCGUGAGAUCCUGCGUGAUGAGAUUGCUGCGUUGUUCCGGGCUGAGUUGCCGGAGCUGUUUGGGUCGAUCAAGACCGCCAUGGUUGAGUAUUUUGAUGAGCGCUAUGCAGCUCUCACAGAGACGGCUGCCGNGCGGCAGGGGGAGGAGCUGGUCGGGGCUUUCAGUAUCGGGACUUAGAUAAUACGAAGCCUACCACUUUCGAUGGAGUUCAAGACCCGAUUGUUGCUAUGAUGUGGGUAUCGGACGUGGAGGGAUGUUUCUUCACGUGUUCCUACCCUGCUGAUCAGAGGGUGAGGUGCGCUCUGAACCUAUUGAGGCUCGGGGCGAAAGAUUGGUGGAGGUUGACCACGGGGUCAUAUUUAGAUGCGCAGAGGGCUGCGGUUUCAUGGGAUCAGUUCAGAGAGAUGUUCAGCACUCGCUAUGUUCCGCAAGUUGAGAGGGAGAGAUUGGCUCAGGAGUUCCUUGAGCUGAAGCAGGAUUCGGAGUCGGUGACUGAGAUCACCAGGAUGUUCACUGAGAGGGCGAUGUUUUGCCCAGAGUUCGCUUCGGAGCAGGCUCAGAUGUCUCGAUAUCUGAGCAUGCUCAAGAGGGACAUCAGACAGUUUGUGUCUGCGCAGAGGUGCGAGACCUUGUUGGAGUUGCAGGAGGCCGCCAGGCGGCGUGAGUUAGAGAUUGAGUUGCAGUUGCGUGAGAUGAGGCAGGCUCCGGUGCAGUCGUAGUCGGCGCCGAAAUGGUCCAAGACUGUUGAUNNNNNNNNNNNNNNNNNNNNNNNNNNNNNNNNNNNNNNNNNNNNNNNNNNNNNNNNNNNNNNNNNNNNNNNNNNNNNNNNNNNNNNNNNNNNNNNNNNNNNNNNNNNNNNNNNNNNNNNNNNNNNNNNNNNNNNNNNNNNNNNNNNNNNNNNNNNNNNNNNNNNNNNNNNNNNNNNNNNNNNNNNNNNNNNNNNNNNNNNNNNGAUGCAGCUACCGGUAUGUUUCUUUCUUGAUGUCUUGUUAUCUUGUGAUUAUUGUGAUGUACUGUUUAUGUGCUGGUAUCUUUGUGUGGUUUUCGAUGCGGUAUUCGUCGUUUUUGAGGGUUGUGGUUUGGUUAUGGGUUAUUGUAUUGGGAAUUUCGUUGGUUAUCAUUCAUGAGGGUUAUUAGUGGAAACUGACAUUGGUUUGAAGGCCAGGUAGCAUCUUCUUUUUGAGGAGUGGUUAGAUGGAGAUUGAGUUUCCUUCGAGUGGGUUAAUCAGUGUUGAUAUGGGAUCUUGUUAAGGUUGUUUAUGCUUGUGGGAAUCAGUCCGCGCGUAAGUGUUGGUUUUGUGCAGAGUUGUUCUGGGAGGUCGGUGAUGGCGAUCGGUGGUUGUUAGUCAGUACCCUAAGUGGGGGAGAAUUGGAAAAUUCUCCGGAAGAUCGAUGAGCAUGUGAGGUUGCUUGGCUGUUUGGGAUUCAGCAGUGUUCUGUCAGUCCAGAGUGUAGGCUAGUAUGAGUAAGUGUCGGGCAUGCGGGGCGGGAUACAGACCUAGGGCAUUUGAUUGUGGAAGGCCUGGGAUCGGGCCGGGAUCGAGUAUGUAUGAUGGAGAUAGAGUUCGGAACCCCUAGAGGGCUAGAACAGUAUGCAUGGGAGGAUUUCCCAGAGAGAUAGCUCGGAAUGAUGGAUGUUAGUUGAGCGGUCCGGAUAGACUGAAGGCCAGUAGGCGUACCAGUCAGGCCGAAGGCUCGGAGAACGGUCCAGCCAGACUGAAGGCACUGGAGGGUGGUCCAGAUUGGCUGAGGGUUCUGAGAGUGGUCCAGAUUGGCUGAAGGCCUGUGAAGGCGGGCCAGUCAUGCUGAAGACUCUGUAGGUAUUGUUAGAGCGGUUCAAGGAAAUGGAUUGAGUAUGUUGCGAUGUAUUAGCAUUAGAAGGUCUAGCCCCAAGUAUUGAUCUUGAUUGGUGGAGAUGGUGCAUGGACUCGAGAGUCCUUGAGAGCAGAGUCAGAGCAUGUGUGUUGGAUGGAUAGCGGAUACGCUACGAAGGAGUGGUGUAGCAUUGGGCGAGUGCCGUGGCACUUGUGGUAGUGUCAAGGCAGCCAAGCGGUUUUCCUUGGUAAGGAAAGAAAGAGGAGUGUAACUCCGAGAGGGAGUGCAAGUUCACGGAAGUGAAUAGCAGAGCAGAGUUAUGAUUAGAGUGAUCCGAGUAUGGUUAUUGAGCAACGUGUUUGCGGCAGUGGAAUGGAAGCACAUCCGGUUAGGGAUGUCUGCUGAGGUCGCGGAAGGAAUUCCGCGGGUGUAGAGAUAAGAGGCUCGGAAAGGAUGCAGGGAGGGAGUCUUGGACUCUCAGUGUGAUUCUGAUCAGGGAAUUGUGUAUGUAGUAGUGGUUCAUCCUGGGGGAUGUUUGAUGAUGUCAUCAGUGUAUAGGGUUUUCCCAACCUGAGGGUGCUAGAGCUAGUUCAGCAUGUGUAUGUGAUUGAAAGAGGAGAACUCAUGGGAGUUGCUCUGAAGAAUGUGACUUUCUGUCAGCAGAAUGAUUAGAGUUGGACUCGGAUCGGGAAUCCGGUGGUGCAUGGUCAUUUUCUAGCUCUUAUGGGUCGAGUGAUGGUUGUGAUUUGGAGCAAUGUUGCAUCAUGAGUAGUACUCGGUCGAUAAGUGGAGUUAUCAGAGGGUAAAGCCGGUGGCCGGCUCGAGACGGUGGUCAGGACACCGUAAGGAAGGAGAAAAUGAGUUUCUGGUUCUAUGGUUGUGUUUUGAGGAACCUGGUUGGGUUAAUGCCAGGUGGUGGAUGGCAGGAGUAUUUCUAAGAGUUGAGUUGUUACAGGCUUCGAGGACGAAGCCUAAUGUAAGUGGGGGAGAAUUGUAACAUCCUAGAAUAGCAAGAGUAAAGUUGAAGGGCUAAAAGAGUAAUAUGGGAAAGAGCGACUCGGCGAGUCCACGAGUGGACUUGGCGAGUAGGGUCGCGACUCUAGUCGCGUGUUAAGUGACCAACUCAGCGAGUAACAUGGGUGGACUCGGCGAGUUGGUGCUAAGUGGAGAAAACCCUAAAUCUAGAGGUUGAGCCCUAUAUAAAGAACAUUAUGUUUCCUCCCCAGCCUCCUUAUCAUCCCUUGAGUUCCAGAAACCCCAUUGUUGAGUGAAUUGGAGCUUGGAGAGGUGGUUGUUGAAGAAAUCUUGAAGGAAAAGAGACUUGGAUCAAAGGGCUUUGCAAGGAUCUGGAUUAAUCUUCUCGUGAAGCUUCCUUUUGAGGUAUUAUAUCAUUAUUUGAGCUGCUAUUGUUAAGAUUCAUCAUUUUGGGGGUGUUAGAGAUCAUAUAUUUUGGUGUAUGGGAGUUUAGAGGUUAGAUCUGAGGUUACUACCUCAGAUCUGGAAUGAAGGAGGGCUAGAAUGCAUAAAAGUCCCAAUUUAUGAGUGAUUGAAGGAGCUAUCUUGUCCCAAGCCCAAACCCUAGAGUGAAAAUGCCUAGAUCUCCUUGGAUUCAUGUAAAAUUUGCCACUUUAUGUGAUGGAUGACCUUAGGAAAGGUAGAUCUAUGGUUUGGACCAUCUGCAUUGCUUGGAAAGCCUCUAUAUGGAUUCAGACCCAGUGGUACUCGGCGAGUCACAUGGGUGGACUCGGUGAGUUGCUUGAAGAUAUGCUGGAACUCGACGAGUUGGAAGAACAACUCGGAGAGUUGGAUGAAGAUGGCCUGGAACUCGACGAGUUUGAAGAACAACUCGGCGAGUAGGUUGAAGAUAGCCUUAGACUCAACGAGUCUGUUCUUGGACUCGGCGAGUCUUGUCGAAGAGUCCCAAUCUUUUCUGGUUGAGCCGUGAAUUGAUGAGUCAAUGGGAUGACUCGGUGAGUUGUAUGUGAGUGGACUCAGAGUUGUUGAACGCGGCGAGUUGAGUCGCGGAUUGGGGAAUUUCUGAGCAUGGGGACUCGGUGAGUCAUCGGGUUGACUCGGCGAGUAGAGUCUGUCAGGGGUUAACUUUGACCAAGGGUUGACCUGUGGUUUCCAGGGGCAUUUUGGUAAUUAUUGGAUAUUGUUUUGAGUUCAGUGCCUUGGUGGUUGGUCGGUGGAGGAGUUCGUGUUAAAGUUUGGACCAGUGGGAUCUUAUCUGUUCAGUCGGCAGUUUCGAGGUGAGUUAGCCUCACUAUAUCUACAGGGUCUAAGGCACGAAGGCCGGCCCUUUAUCGGAUUGAGAUCCGGGUAUUUGUUGUAUGUUAUUGCUUUGAUAUGUUGCAUCCUGGUAGCUAGGAUGGUAUAUGUUAGAGACUUGGUUGAGAUCGGUAUCCUGAGAUGUAGGGUGAUGCUAUGGUAGUGACCGGUUAGGUCGGUAUCCUGGUUAGGAUGAUGAUAUGUUAUGUGAUCUGUUUGAUCGGCUUGUUGACUGUGAAUUGUUAUAUGUUUGUAUGUUUAUGUGCACAUGGUUGUUUGGACUGGAGUUGGGUUGAGGCGGGUCCUGCUUUGUGCUGUAGGCCAAGAUACCCAGGGCGGACCGGUUGUCCCGAAGGCCCAGCGAGCGGUCCGGAUAGGCUGUAGGCCCCAAGAGGGCGGACCAGACGUGCCGAGGCUCGGAGAGUGGACCAGGCCGACUGAAGGCCCGGUGCGGGCGG
rnacentral:lncRNA from 1 species